GAUCCUGGCUCAGGAUGAACGCUAGCUACAGGCUUAACACAUGCAAGUCGAGGGGAAACGAUAGAGAAAGCUUGCUUUUUCUAGGCGUCGACCGGCGCACGGGUGAGUAACGCGUAUCCAACCUGCCCAUCACUUGGGGAUAACCUUGCGAAAGUAAGACUAAUACCCAAUGACGUCUCUAGAAGACAUCUGAAAGAGAUUAAAGAUUUAUCGGUGAUGGAUGGGGAUGCGUCUGAUUAGCUUGUUGGCGGGGUAACGGCCCACCAAGGCGACGAUCAGUAGGGGUUCUGAGAGGAAGGUCCCCCACAUUGGAACUGAGACACGGUCCAAACUCCUACGGGAGGCAGCAGUGAGGAAUAUUGGUCAAUGGACGAGAGUCUGAACCAGCCAAGUAGCGUGCAGGAUGACGGCCCUAUGGGUUGUAAACUGCUUUUAUAAGGGAAUAAAGUGAGUCUCGUGAGACUUUUUGCAUGUACCUUAUGAAUAAGGACCGGCUAAUUCCGUG
rnacentral:rRNA from 1 species